AGCAGCCGCGGUAAUUCCAGCUCCAAUAGCGUAUAUUAAAGUUGUUGCAGUUAAAAAGCUCGUAGUUGAAUUUCGGGAUCAAUUUAUUGGUCGUGCUAUUGUACGUACUGGUAUUAUUGAUUCCUACCUUCUGACGAACCAUGGUGUCAUUAAUUUGGUGUCUUGGGGAAUCAGGACUGUUACUUUGAAAAAAUUAGAGUGUUUAAAGCAGGCUCACGCUUGAAUACAUUAGCAUGGAAUAACGAAAUAGGACGUUUGAUUCUAUUUUGUUGGUUUCUAGGAUCGACGUAAUGAUUAAUAGGGAUAGUUGGGGGCAUUAGUAUUCAAUUGUCAGAGGUGAAAUUCUUGGAUUUAUUGAAGACUAACUACUGCGAAAGCAUUUGCCAAGGAUGUUUUCAUUAAUCAAGAACGAAAGUUAGGGGAUCGAAGACGAUCAGAUACCGUCGUAGUCUUAACCAUAAACUAUGCCGACUAGGGACCGGAUGAUGUUAAUUUUUUAAUGACUCAUUCGGCGCCUUAC
rnacentral:rRNA from 1 species